GUUUCAGGGCGGGGUGCAAUUCCCCACCGGCGGUACAGCCCGCGACCACCCCCCAAAGGGUGCUGACCCGGUGAAACUCCGGGGCCGACAGUAUAGUCUGGAUGGAAGAGA
rnacentral:ncRNA from 1 species